rnacentral:rRNA from 1 species
UUGUCUCAAAGACUAAGCCAUGCAUGUCUAAGUACACACGUUACAAAGUGAAACCGCGAAUGGCUCAUUAAAUCAGUUAUGGUUCCUUAGAUCGUACUCCAUACUUGGAUAACUGUGGCAAUUCUAGAGCUAAUACAUGCGAAAAGACUCGACGCAAGAAGAGUCGCUUUUAUUAGGUCAAAACCAAUCGGAUUCGUCCGUUCAUUUGGUGACUCUGGAUAACUCUAGCGGAUCGCGACGGCCUUGUGCCGGCGACGUAUCUUUCAAAUGUCUGCCCUAUCAACUUUCGAUGGUACGUAACAUGCCUACCAUGGUUGUAACGGGUAACGGGGAAUCAGGGUUCGAUUCCGGAGAGGGAGCCUGAGAAAUGGCUACCACAUCCAAGGAAGGCAGCAGGCGCGCAAAUUACCCAAUCCCAGAAUGGGGAGGUAGUGACGAAAAAUAACAAUGUCAGCUCGUAACGAGUUCGAUAAUUGGAAUGAGCAGAAUUUAAAUCCUUUAGUGAGGAUCCAUUGGAGGGCAAGUAUGGUGCCAGCAGCCGCGGUAAUUCCAUCUCCAAUAGCGUAUAUUAAAGUUGUUGCAGUUAAAAAGCUCGUAGUUGCAUCUCAGACAGACACCGUUUGGUCCUAAUCGCACUGACGGAUGUAGUCUACUCGUCGGUCCGUUGCUUUGUGCUCUUCAUUGAGUGCUUUGUAGCGCCGGCACGUUUACUUUGAAAAAAUUAGAGUGCUCAAAGCAAGCGUUUGCUCGAAUAUUGAUGCAUGGAAUAAUGGAAUAGGACUUCGGUUCUAUUUUGUUGGUUUUCGGAACCGCAGUAAUGAUUAAGAGGAACAGACGGGGGCAUUCGUAUUGCUCUGUUAGAGGUGAAAUUCUUGGAUCGGAGCAAGACGAACAAACGCGAAGGCAUUUGUCAAGAAUGUUUUCAUUAAUCAAGAACGAAAGUCAGAGGUUCGAAGGCGAUCAGAUACCGCCCUAGUUCUGACCAUAAACGAUGCCAACUAACGAUUAGCCGGGUUUAUUAAACGCCUCGGCUAGCAGUUUCCGGGAAACCAAAGUGUUUGGGUUCCGGGGGAAGUAUGGUUGCAAAGCUGAAACUUAAAGGAAUUGACGGAAGGGCACCACCAGGAGUGGAGCCUGCGGCUUAAUUUGACCCAACACGGGAAAACUCACCCGGCCCGGACACCAGAAGGAUUGACAGAUUGAGAGCUCUUUCUUGAUUUGGUGGAUGGUGGUGCAUGGCCGUUCUUAGUUGGUGGAGCGAUUUGUCUGGUUAAUUCCGAUAACGAACGAGACUCUAGCCUGCUAAAUAGACCGCGAAUUCUUGUAGUUCGUCGGCGCUUCUUAGAGGGACAAGUGACACCACAUAAGUGGGUAGUCACACGAAAUUGAGCAAUAACAGGUCUGUGAUGCCCUUAGAUGUCCGGGGCCGCACGCGCGCUACAAUGAAAGAAACAACGUGCAUUAUCCUAGCCUGUAAAGGUUGGAGAAUCCGUUGAAUACCCUUCGUACCAGGGAUUGGGGCUUGUAAUUAUUCCCCAUGAACGAGGAAUUCCCAGUAGGCGCAAGUCAUAAGCUUGCGUCGACUACGUCCCUGCCCUUUGUACACACCGCCCGUCGCUACUACCGAUUGAGUUGUUUAGUGAGAUCCUCAGAUUGGACGUUAUUCGUGAGCAAUUGCAUCUGACGGACGAGAAGAAGACCAAACUUGAUCAUUUAGAGGAAGUAAAAGUCGUAACAAGGUUUCCGUAGGUGAACCUGCGGAAGGAUCAUUA